rnacentral:rRNA from 1 species
GAUGAACGCUAGCUACAGGCUUAACACAUGCAAGUCGAGGGGCAGCAGGAUCUAGCAAUAGAUUGCUGGCGACCGGCGCACGGGUGAGUAACACGUAUCCAACCUGCCGAUAACUCGGGGAUAGCCUUUCGAAAGAAAGAUUAAUACCCGAUGGUAUAAUCAGACCGCAUGGUCUUGUUAUUAAAGAAUUUCGGUUAUCGAUGGGGAUGCGUUCCAUUAGGCAGUUGGUGAGGUAACGGCUCACCAAACCUUCGAUGGAUAGGGGUUCUGAGAGGAAGGUCCCCCACAUUGGAACUGAGACACGGUCCAAACUCCUACGGGAGGCAGCAGUGAGGAAUAUUGGUCAAUGGGCGCAGGCCUGAACCAGCCAAGUAGCGUGAAGGAUGACUGCCCUAUGGGUUGUAAACUUCUUUUAUAUGGGAAUAAAGUUUUCCACGUGUGGAAUUUUGUAUGUACCAUAUGAAUAAGGAUCGGCUAACUCCGUGCCAGCAGCCGCGGUAAUACGGAGGAUCCGAGCGUUAUCCGGAUUUAUUGGGUUUAAAGGGAGCGUAGGUGGACAGUUAAGUCAGUUGUGAAAGUUUGCGGCUCGACCGUAAAAUUGCAGUUGAUACUGGCUGUCUUGAGUACAGUAGAGGUGGGCGGAAUUCGUGGUGUAGCGGUGAAAUGCUUAGAUAUCACGAAGAACUCCGAUUGCGAAGGCAGCUCACUGGACUGCAACUGACACUGAUGCUCGAAAGUGUGGGUAUCAAACAGG